UACGUAGGGUGCAAGCGUUAAUCGGAAUUACUGGGCGUAAAGCGUGCGCAGGCGGUCUUUUAAGUCAGAUGUGAAAUCCCCGGGCUUAACCUGGGAACUGCGUUUGAAACUGGAAGGCUUGAGUGUGGCAGAGGGGGGUGGAAUUCCACGUGUAGCAGUGAAAUGCGUAGAGAUGUGGAGGAACACCGAUGGCGAAGGCAGCCCCCUGGGUCAACACUGACGCUCAUGCACGAAAGCGUGGGGAGCAAACAGG
rnacentral:rRNA from 1 species